AUCAACGUCACCCUUGACUUUUAGCAGCAAAUUUUUUUGAAAGGCUGAAUUUUUUUUUUUAUUUGAAAAUAAGAACUUUUUUUUAAUUUGAAAAGAAGAACUUUGAUUUAUUUUAGUUUAAUCCUACAUCCUUUAAAAGAGUCGAUGGAGUUGCACUGUUCAUUUUUGAUCCUAAGCUUUCGCACCUGACUGGUUCACAAACUAGAUACAUACUAUUCAUCAAUAAAAUAUCUUUUACGUUUUGUACUCCCUUUUCAUUUUGCACGCUGCUUCUUGUUUUCGAAAUCCUUCCCCAAUUUUCAUAUGCCUUUCCACAUAAAUUGUAAAGGGUAGCUUUUAAUCCUGUAGAAGAUUUGAGUUUAAAAAAAAAGGGUAAAGAAAUGCCUAUUUUGGAGGUGUCGAUCCAAAAGACCUACAAAAAUGGAAUCAUGCAAAAAUUUAUGAGCUUCUCUUGCGUAUUAUUGUUAAGAGAUUUAGAAUAUGUUUGGGAGUAAUUUUUUUCCUUAAAAAUUUGAUUUUUUAAUCGUUAUUUUACUAUUUAAAUCGUCAUAUUUUACUUCUUCUCUCAAUAAUAAACCCAUUUUUCUCCCAACGAUCAAAAAAUAAACAGCUCUUACACUUCUACUGUUAACCUUUCAAUUUUCUGUUCUUGUUUUGAUCAAAAUUUCCAUGUGUGUUUGAUUUUUNN
rnacentral:lncRNA from 1 species